AGAGUUUGAUCAUGGCUCAGAACGUACGCUGGCGGCACGCCUAACACAUGCAAGUCGAACGAAGUAGCAAUACUUAGUGGCAGACGGGUGAGUAACAUGUAGGUAUCUGCCCUUUGGCCUGGAAUAACACGAGGAAACUUGUGCUAAUACCGGAUAAGUCUUUACGGAGAAAGCUUUAUGCACCAUUGGAUGAGCCUGCACUUGAUUAGUUUGUUGGUGGGGUAAUGGCCUACCAAGACUGUGAUCAAUAGCUGAUUUGAGAGGAUGAUCAGCCACAUUGGGACUGAGACACGGCCCAAACUCCUACGGGAGGCAGCAGUGGGGAAUCUUGCACAAUGGAGGAAACUCUGAUGCAGCGAUGCCGCGUGAGUGAAGAAGGCCCUUGGGUUGUAAAGCUCUUUCGUCGGGGAAGAAAAUGACUGUACCCGAAUAAGAAGGUCCGGCUAACUUCGUGCCAGCAGCCGCGGUAAUACGAAGGGACCUAGCGUAGUUCGGAAUUACUGGGCUUAAAGAGUUCGUAGGUGGUUGAAAAAGUUAGUGGUGAAAUCCCAGAGCUUAACUCUGGAACUGCCAUUAAAACUUUUCAGCUAGAGUAUGAUAGAGGAAAGCAGAAUUUCUAGUGUAGAGGUGAAAUUCGUAGAUAUUAGAAAGAAUACCAAUUGCGAAGGCAGCUUUCCGGAUCAUUACUGACACUGAGGAACGAAAGCAUGGGUAGCGAAGAGGAUUAGAUACCCUCGUAGUCCAUGCCGUAAACGAUGUGUGUUAGACGUUGGAAAUUUAUUUUCAGUGUCGCAGCGAAAGCGAUAAACACACCGCCUGGGGAGUACGACCGCAAGGUUAAAACUCAAAUGAAUUGACGGGGACCCGCACAAGUAGUGGAGCAUGUGGUUUAAUUCGAAGAUACGCGCAGAACCUUACCAACACUUGACAUGUUCGUCGCGACUCUAAGAGAUUAGAGUUUUCGGUUCGGCCGGACGAAACACAGGUGCUGCAUGGCUGUCGUCAGCUCGUGUCGUGAGAUGUUGGGUUAAGUCCCGCAACGAGCGCAACCCUCACUUUUAGUUGCCAUCAUUAAGUUGGGCACUCUGAAAGAACUGCCAGUGAUAAGCUGGAGGAAGGUGGGGAUGACGUCAAGUCCUCAUGGCCCUUACGUGUUGGGCUACACACGUGCUACAAUGGUAUCUACAACAGGAAGCAAGACUGCGAAGUUAAGCAAAUCCCUAAAAGAUACCUCAGUUCGGAUUGCACUCUGCAACUCGAGUGCAUGAAGCUGGAAUUACUAGUAAUCGUGGAUCAGCGUGCCACGGUGAAUGCGUUCCCGGGUCUUGUACACACCGCCCGUCACACCAUGGGAGUUGGUUCUACCUUAAGGCAAGGUUUUAAACCCUUGACCACGGUAUAGUCAGCGACUGGGGUGAAGUCGUAACAAGGUA
rnacentral:rRNA from 1 species